GAUGAAGAACGUAGCGAAAUGCGAUAAGUAAUGUGAAUUGCAGAAUUCAGUGAAUCAUCGAAUCUUUGAACGCACAUUGCGCCCGCCAGUAUUCUGGCGGGCAUGCCUGUUCGAGCGUCAUUUCAACCAUCAAGCCCCCGGCUUGUGUUGGGGACCUGCGGCUGCCGCAGGCCCUGAAAACCAGUGGCGGGCUCGCUAGUCACUCCGAGCGUAGUAGUUACAUCUCGCUCAGGGCGUGCUGCGGGUUCCGGCCGUUAAAAGCCUUAUUUACCCACGGUUGACCUCGGAUCAGGUAGGAAGACCCGCUGAACUUAAGCAUAUCAAUAAGCGGAGGA
rnacentral:misc_RNA from 1 species